GUUCCAGGGGGUUCCUUUGAAAACUUCCUGCGGUGUCCAGGAGCGAGCAGCCUGCUGCACACAGGACGCAAUGCCUGCUGAAAUCCCAGAUGAAAAUUCAUAAUCCACUUAGGAAAAAGGAGGGGGGAUGCACGGAGUUAGCACAUAUUAAGUGCCUGCUGUAGUCAAGCCCUGUUGGACACCAGGGACAUCUGGACCUUGACAACGGAGCGAAGGGGUGGUCCUGCCUGCACCAGGUUUCAGGUGAGGAGAUUGAGGCCCACAGAGAUCCGGGACUGGCCUCACUUAGCUGGGUGAACAUGAAAAAUAGAAGCCUCCAGUUUCUCCUGAUAGUGUAUAGAUGGGCAGAUCUGGCCUCAAUGGCAGAAGAUACUUGGGGAACUGGAGAAAGUACAGAAGGUGAUGUGAAAUCAAUUGGGUCAUCAAAAGAAGACGGGUGUACCACAAUUUGUUCCUCCACCUGCUG
rnacentral:lncRNA from 10 species